AUGGUGGCACGUCACACUUGGCUGCUGCCGCCCGUUCUCGCUGUCUGCCUGGCGGCGGCAUUGCUCGCGGCGGACGCGUCGGCACCCUUGCACCUCGAGGCGCUGCUGGCGUUCAAGAAGGGCGUCACCGCCGACCCACUGGGCGCGCUGUCCAACUGGACGGCGGGGGCCGGCGACGCCGUCCGCGGCGGGGUGCCGCGGCACUGCAACUGGACUGGCGUCGCCUGCGACGGCGCGGGCCGCGUCACGUCCAUCCAGCUGCUCCAGACGCAGCUCCAGGGCGCGCUCACGCCGUUCCUGGGCAACAUCUCCACGCUCCAGCUCCUCGACCUCACCGAGAACGGCUUCACCGGCGCCAUCCCGCCGCAGCUCGGCCGCCUCGGCGAGCUCCAGCAGCUCAUUCUCACCGAGAACAGCUUCGCCGGCGGCAUCCCCCGGGAGCUCGGCGACCUGGGGAACCUGCAGCUCCUCGACCUCACCACCAACACGCUCACCGGAGUCAUCCCCAGCAGCCUCUGCAACUGUUCGGCUAUGUGGGCGCUCGGCCUGGGCAUCAACAACCUCACCGGCCAACUCCCCGCUUGCAUCGGCGACCUCGACAAACUCCAGAUAUUCUCGGCCUUUAUAAACAAUCUCGACGGCGAGCUUCCGCCGUCAUUCGCCAAGCUCACACAGAUGAAGUCGCUGGACCUCAGCACCAACAAGCUGUCCGGCUCGAUCCCGCCGGAGAUCGGGAACUUCUCGCACCUCUGGAUUCUUCAGCUGUUGGAAAACCGCUUCUCCGGACCAAUCCCGUCGGCGCUUGGCCGCUGCAAGAACCUCACCUUGCUCAACAUAUACAGCAACCGUUUCACCGGGGCCAUCCCCCGCGAGCUCGGGGAGCUCGUCAACCUGGAGGCGCUGCGGUUGUACGACAACGCGCUGUCGUCCGAGAUCCCGAGCUCGCUGGGGCGGUGCACGAAGCUAUUAUCGCUUGGGCUGUCCAUGAACCAGCUGACCGGCUCGAUCCCGCCGGAGCUCGGCGAGCUCCGGUCGCUCCAGACGCUGACGCUCCAUGAUAACCGGCUCACCGGCACGGUUCCGUUGUCUCUGACGAAUCUUGUCAACCUGACAUACCUGUCGCUCAGCAACAACUCCCUGUCUGGCCCGCUGCCGGAGAACAUCGGGGCGCUCCGGAAUCUCGGGAAGCUCAUCAUCCACAGCAACUCGCUCUCCGGCCCAAUUCCGGCGAGCAUAACCAACUGCACGUUGCUGUCCAACGCGAGCAUGUCAUCAAACGAGUUGACAGGGCACCUGCCUGCGGGGCUUGGCCAGCUACAGGGCCUCGUGUUCUUUUCAGUGGGCAACAACUCGCUGAACGGAAGCAUACCGAAGGACCUGCUCGACUGCGUGAACCUCCGCACUCUGGUCCUAGCAAGCAACAACUUCACCGGUGGGCUGUGGUAG
rnacentral:rRNA from 1 species